UCUCGAUAGCGUAAAAGUUAACUCAAAUUCGUAUGGAGUUGUAAUGUUUGCCUACGUUUGUCGCUAGGAUCGCUGUUUCAACUGUGUACAAAUUUGAGUUAACUUUUACGCCAUCGA
rnacentral:pre_miRNA from 9 species